GUGGGGAAUAUUGGGCAAUGGGCGCAAGCCUGACCCAGCAACGCCGCGUGAAGGAAGAAGGCUUUCGGGUUGUAAACUUCUUUUACCAGGGACGAAACAAAUGACGGUACCUGGUGAAUAAGCCACGGCUAACUACGUGCCAGCAGCCGCGGUAAUACGUAGGUGGCGAGCGUUAUCCGGAUUUAUUGGGUGUAAAGGGCGUGUAGGCGGAACAGCAAGUCAGAUGUGAAAACCAGAGGCUCAACCGCUGGCCUGCAUAUGAAACUGUUGUUCUUGAGUGUCGGAGAGGUAAUCGGAAUUCCGUGGGUAGCGGUGAAAUGCGUAGAUAUACGGAGGAACACCAGUGGCGAAGGCGGAUUACUGGACGAUAACUGCCGCGGAGGCGCGAAAGCGUGGGGAGCAAACAGGAUUAGAUACCCUUGUAGUCC
rnacentral:rRNA from 1 species